rnacentral:lncRNA from 1 species
CGUGACCAUGCAGCUGGACACCGCAUGACUGUGCAGCUGGAUACCACGUGGACGGCGGGUGGGAGGCAUGAGUUCCAGCUUUGGCACAAAGGAGCUUUGCGUCAGUUUCAUUAAUCCUGGUGUAACCGCCCAGUGUGUUCACCUCACCGGCUGCCUAGACACAGCCGAUUUAUCAAGACAGGGGAAUUGCAAAGGAGAAGGAGUAACUCACGCAGAGCCAGCUGUGCGGGAGACCAGAGUUUUAUUAUUAUUACUCAAAAGGGUCUCCCCGAGCAUUUGGGGAUCAGAGUUUUUAAAGAUAAUUUGGCAGGUAGGGGCUCAGAAAGUGGGGAAUACUGGUUGGUCCGUUUGGAGAUGGACUCAUAGGGGGUCAAAGUGAGUUUUUCUUGCUGUCUUCUGUUCCUGGGUGGGAUGGCGGAACUGGUUGAGCCAGAUGACUGGUCUAGGUGGUGUCAGCUGAUCCAUGAGUGCGGGGUCUGCAGAAUAUCCCCAGCACUGAUCUCAGGUUUUACAAUAGUGAGGUGAUCCCCAGAAGCAAUUUGGGGAGGUUCAGACUCUCACAGCCGGAGGCCACAAGACCCCUAAACCAUAAUUUCUAACCUUGCAGCUAAUUUGUUAGUCCUACAAAGGCCGACUGGUCCUCAGGCAAGAAGGGGGUCUAUUCGGGAAAGGGCUGUUACCAAUUUUGUUUCAGAGUCAAACCAUGAACUGAAUUACUUCCCAAAGUUAGUUCGGCCUACGCCCAGGGAUGAAUAAGGACAGCUUAAAGGUUAGAAGGAAUGUGGAGUCGGUUAGGUCUGAUUUCUUUCACUGUCAUCAUUUCCUCAGUUAUAAUUUUUGCAAAGGCAGUUUCAUGGGGGGUAAACCCAAACGGCCCCCUGCAGUCCUGGGAGUGGCUUCAUGAAGGGGACCCCGACAGUUCUCCUCUCCCUAGGGGCGGCCCCCCAGCUCACCACAAGUGUGACCACGAGGCCCUUGGGUAGGGCAACAAAAGGCCGGGGAAGGUGGGGGUGUCCUCCCCAACUCCCGAGCCUCCUUCCACGUGGAGAAAACUGACUUCUCUGACCCCUGCCUCUCUCCCACCAUUUGUCACCCACCCCCACGCAGGGAGGGAUUGGCAAAUCCAGGCAGGGUCUGCAGGGCAGGCUGAGCUCACUCUCCGCUGCUACCUGCAGGGGUGGCCUGCUCUGCUGAACAGGUGGGGGCUCCCUGGAGGCUGGCCUGGGCUGCGCCUUUGGGCAGGUGGCCCCUCCACUCUGGGGUUCAGGGAAGGCCCCCUUGGCCUUCACUCUGAGCCACGUCCUCCGACCAGCCUCCAUUGGGAAUAGCGGGCAGCCUGGCAUUACAGCCUCUGUGGGCCCCUCCUCUGGGCUAAAGUAUUACCAAUGAUGUUUCAUAACUGCGUUGGUAGAAAGAUGACUAUAGCCCAGGCUGCACUGUGUUUAUUCUGAUUUUAGAAGGCAUUAAACCACUUUCCUGAUGCCUAAAAGUCUUCUGGGCCCUGGCACUAAGCCUGCUACACCCUGUGAAAGGAAAAUCCAUCUCAGGCCCCAAAAUUACCAAGCCAAGGGAAGAGUCAAGCUGGGUACUGCUCAGGCAAACCUGCCUCCCAGUCCACUCCUGAAUAAGAUGGCUACGGAGACUAAAAAGCCACCACCUCCCUCAAAAUUUGCCCAGAAGGAAAUUCCUCGUAGACAAAUGACAGACAGGACCCAAAGCCAUCCCUCUGCUCCCCUGAGACAAAUCCAUAUCUGAUGGCUUCCUCUGCCCUAUUGUUGAUAUAAAAAUACAGAUUCCCUGAGCCAGACUAAAUUGUGUUUCAGUGGGAGGCCGAUCAAGGUCUCGAAAGAAUGCAACAGUUUGUCUCUUACCUACUUAUGACCUGGAAGUCCCCCACCCCCGCAAGUUGUCAAGCUGCCCCGCCUUACCUGACCAAACAAAUGUACAUCUUACACAUAUUGAUUGAUGUCUCAUGUCCCCCUAAAAUGUAUAAAAGAAAGCAUGGUGGCUCAUGCCUGUAAUCCCAGCACUUUGGGAGACCGAGGUGGGUGGAUGACGAGGUCAGGAGCUCGAGACCAGCCUGGCCAAGAUGGUGAAACCCCGUCUCUACUAAAAAUACAAAAACUUAGCCAUGCAUGGUACCAUGCGCCUAUAAUCCUAGGUACUGGGGAGGCUGGGGCAGAGAAUUGCUUGAACCCGGGAGACGGAGGUUGCAGUGAGCCGAGAUCACACCACUGCACUCCAGCCUGGGCAACAAGAGCGAAACUCCAUCUCAAAAAAAGAAAAAAAAUCUUUACUUUGGAUGAAUACUUAGAAAUGGAAUUUCCAGGUCGGCCUUUAGAUAUUAUUAAUGGAUUUAAUAUGAAAAACCU